CGCCAUUAUUGCGAAUUUUUACGAAAGCCAGAUUGUGACAAGGUAAGGUUCUAUUUCUUUUUCUUCUUUUGGACCAGGUUUUUCAUAAAAAUUUUUCUCAUUUCAUCCUUAUCAAAUCCAACAGUCGAAUGUUUAAUAAUGAAUGCAGGUGUUGUAAAUGUAAAAAGCGAAAGUCCCAGAGUUUAUCCAAUCCACGUGGUUUGAUACUGCGACGGCAAUUUUGAAGGAAAAUGUCUGUUUGACAAACUAUUUUGUCACGUUUGUCUAAUUAGUUAUUAGUAGACUUGAAUGAAUUUUUAAAGAAACUUGUCAGGCAUACAAAGUACGUGUUCUCUUCUUUAGAAGUUAUUCGAAAUCGAUGAAAAUUUCCAAAUGAUACAGCCUACAAAGUUGACAAGAUAAAAAUUCAACCGCUGACAUCAAUGUAUUUUUCCUCUUCCUUCCACAACUACGUUGCUUUUAGCGAGACCCGUAAAUGUAUUCAGUGACGGUGUUCAAUUCAAUGCUUCAUUCAAGGUAAACCUUUUUUUUUUCUUAAUUCUUGGAAAUUAUGUGUUUCAUGUAGAAUUUAAACAUUUUGUGCAUUAGACUAGUGAAAUAUUAGUAGGGUUUCUGAGAUGACAACAUGCAAGGAUGACUAUUUUUAUUCGAUGUGGAUAUUAAUAAUAUUCCGUGUCAUCCAAUUGGAUAGCAUUUGCUCUUUUGUUUUGCAGCCUUGCUACGAUAUUUUCCAGCAACUUCGUGUUGGUAUUUAAAGGGCGUGGAUGAUUGCUGGGUGCUUUCCCAUAAGCUGAAUGUUUGUUUUCUUUAGAUACCAUUGACCUCUUUCGACCGCAACCUGAAAAAACAUUUGCAAUUUAUUUCUGUACUAAUGAACAAUCAAGUAUGCCAGUGACGCUGAAGUCUCUGACAUAGGACAAAUAAGAAUAUUUCUGUAAACAAGACCAAGUACGGUUACAGACGGCAGCAGAUGGCAAAGGUAAAGGUUUGCAUAAUUUUUUUUACAUUAAGGAACAUGCUAUUGUAAUUUAUUGUGCCAUACCUGCAAAAGCAUUGCAAAAUGGUCUUUUUUCUUUGUAUGACCAUUGUUCCACAUCUUCUAUCGAAUCAGAAUCAUUCUGGUUUGCCGUUAGUGGCUGCGACAAUGAAUUUGAAACGUAAAGACUGAUGACCAACCAGGCCAGUACUACCAAGCUGUAGAACAGCGGUCUCGUCAUACCUGCUACAGACAUUCUACUGAUUAUUUUAGAAAUGACAUAUGGUAUACAGUACAUGCUACAGCCAUGGGAAAGUUCGUUAAUUUCAAAGAAGGAAACGUUCUUCGUUAAUUUAACCUAUGACCAUUUGCUAAUAUUGAUCGCCGAUGACGGGAAACACGGCGUAAUGCUCUUAACGAGAAACAGUUUUUCACAAGGUAUAUUAUCUUGCAUAACUUACCUGAUUCGAAGUUGACUGAUUACAAAAAGGAGAAAUAGGAUAUGAGCUGAAAUCUGGAUUCGUUCACUUUCAAAAUCAGAAUUUCCAUCCAAAUUGCUAGAAAAUGUGUUGGACUCAGUACGGGAAGUAGUUGGUGACGAAAGUCUUGCUUCGUGAAUAACCUUAUAAGAGGUAUUAGAACAGUUUUUAUAUGUGUUCGAGGCUCCGCCCUGCCUAGCCGGUUCCCUACUCUUCUACCAAAUGCCAAUGCUCUUCUUUCUGCAACAUCACAUUUCAACAAUCAUUUUUGUGCAUUCACAUGCCGAGCAACGAGGAGAGUGACAGAAAAAUUUCCAGAUUAAUUUUUAAGCUUUAAGUUCUGGCAGCUGAUAACCAAAUUAUCGAAUUAAGAAUUAUUAUCGUCUGGUUCAAUCCUCCUUUUGAUGCUUAGGUUACUUUGUGCACACCAAACUAUUGUUUGGAUGUGAUCCAUACUUCUUUUAAUGUUACUUGGGGAACGGUUGUUUUCAAAAGGACUUCAUUCAGUUCCAAAUUUUCCAUCCGCUGAUCGAGAUAACGAAUAUGAUUCGAAUCAGGUUUUUGUACAAUAAAGAGGCUGUCGAAUUUUCAUCGACAAUCGGCACAUGAGCGGAUGAGCCAAAGUUUAGUUCGAUUUCACAAAAUUAAGGAUAUACUUCUUUACGCCUCAUCCCGACCCAACGUUCUCACAUAAAUUUUUCUCUCAUUUAACUAUACACAUUUCUUAGCCUUAAAAAAAAAGCGACACAUACGUUGCUGUUAGAACAACACAAACGUUCUUGUUCUAACAAAGCAAUAGCAAACCUCUUACUUAGAAAUCCAUUACUUAAUAAUCAGCAGGGUUCCUCUCUCACCCAAAACCUCUGUAGUGGGGCUGCGCGUAACGUUAUGACCACUUUAGCGUUAAACUGAUGCACUAAUAACACCCGUCGCGGGAUAUCCAUUUCUUCCAUUUACUACUUGUGCAUUUUCCCUGAUGAUGUGUAGUCCAAUGACAUGCUGGGGAGCAUAAUGAGCAGUAGCUUCUACUGUAGACCGUUAUGGUGGCGUACGUAAACCAGACAUGGGAGUUUGAUUACUGAUUGUAAUAAAAACAAUGCUGAUAAAAAAAAAUGUAAAUGCUUCCGAUUCUUACUACUACAAAAACAAGGGCGAAUAUGAUCCAAUAGUGAUGAAAACUACUUUUCCUCCCUGUAAUGUUAGAAAGGAUAAAGAUAGACGUUUAGGAAUUUCCGAUAGGGAUUCUUGCAAAACUACAUGUCUCACUAGUUUCCCGAUAGGGAUUCUUGCAAAACGGAAUUCCUCCUCAUUUCAUCUCAACCAACCCACGUUUUUUCUAAGAUUUUUCCCGAUAGAUGGCGCCAUUUUCGAAAAGGGUACUCCAUUAAUCUUUUAUAUCUUAUCUUCCCAAGUUAGAACGUGGUUAUUGUAUCGUCUUGUAAAGCAGAUAUCGCUGAAGUUAAUGACGAGUACCCCGUAAUUUUAGGCUGAACGGUGAGAGAUUGCCGAGCAAUUUAGAAGGCCGACCCGAGUUUUGGAUAUAUAAUUUUUUACGAUAGAUGGCGUUGAGACGAAAAAUUACGAAAACAAGGCGAAAUCAGGCCGCGAACUUACUAUUGAAGGCCGGGCUUCCGGAGUCGCCUAGCAACAGACUUCAUUUCGUUUAGGUUAGGUCGUUGUGUUUGUGUUUCGUUAAUCCCGUUGCUUUGCCGCGUGUGGAACUUAUUCAUCGCUUUGGUGUUGAGCGGGGAGCUAUUAAUGUUAUUCUGGGGCAUAUUCAACUGAAUGGCUUUGUUGGAGAGGUGUUAAGUGGGGUGCUAAUAAAUAUUCAGUGCGUUCCGUUUUCAACAUCUUUUGGCUACGCGUUACUCGUUAAGUUAAUACAAUGAAAAUUUGCCAUUUUUUCGUACCAACCUGAACGACAAUCUUUUUCACGACGCACGAUUGUUUGAAGAUUGAUUUUCACUAUACGUCAUCAUUUGAAUGGUGCAGUUUCUAGCCGCAGCUCUGCAGUGUGCAAAAAUUGGAGGUGGCAAAAAUCUGCUUGUGGUGCUGAUCUGCAAAUUGCUGGCUUCAUGAAAGUAAUCUUGAAAUGACCUAUCAACAGACUACUGCAGUAUUAAAAUACUCUAACCCUCAAGGAAAUUUGCAGCUGUGGACUUUCUUUAGAUGACUCUUGUAUCAGAAAUAUUUUCCUUCUUUUUGGAACAAGUAACAUAGGAUGUCUUGAUGCCAACAAAGUGUGAUUGGAAAGAUUGUAAAAAGAUAUUAAGCAGGAGAAACCUAAAGUUGGAGGACGAUACAUUUGUUUCCCAUUACUAGUUUUGUAAAACAAAUGGUAAAUUGGUAAAAUGAAACAACAUAUUACCUAUUACUUUAGAUCAAUUGUUUUCACAAGUGAAGAUUGAUUCCACAAUCUGCAACUUCUCAGGCAGACACCCAUCCACAAAGCCAUGGGCAAUCCAUACAGGGUAACGACUCGUCGUGAGUGCAGACCAUCCAUAUUGAUAACGGUUUCCUGCGUAAAGAUGAAUCCGUGUAGGUCGUCAAUAGUAUACAGCCAUACGGGAUCAUUUACGCCGAACAACUGUUCAUGGAAGAUGAUUUCGGUGAGACGCAAGUGCUGAUCGUUUGGUGGUCGAUUACGCCAACAUGGCAGCCAAGGAACAUGCCUUGCUCAAUCGGAUUGAAAUCGCGAUGUCGGAAGAAGAGCGUCUUCUUCUGGAAGAACUGUCCAUUCGCAACCAUUAUGUUGCCACGCUACUGCCUAUUCGCAUUGUCGGUGUUCAGGGAGAUGGAGAUUGCCGAACUUAUAUUCCUGGCACCUAUUUACCUGAAGAGGUUGUAGACAAGAUGGUUGAAGCCGUCUUAACUGUUCCAGGUACCUGACGGCGAAACCACUCCGGGAGAACGGAGUGGGAAUGAUUUGAUUUACGAACGUUGAGUGCAGUUGUUUUUCGUCUAACAAAUUAACAUUGUUAAUGUGCAGCUAGAUGGGUUGUUGUUGCUCUCCCUUGUAAAUCUACCCUUUUUCGCCCAAUUGUUAAUAUGAUUCUUUUGGGAACGUUCCGGUGUCUCCCAAAAACAAGUGGAAGACCAUUCGAGGCGUUAUGCCAUUUCCUGAAAUUGAACAUUUAGAAAAUGUGGUAUAUGUUUGCCAAUUGUUUAGAUCUAUUCAGAGUGGUACCAUAAAGUAUGACUGUAGGAAAGGGUACAUAGGCUUCUAAAAGUGAAGAACAGCUCUGACGUCUUUGGUAAGCGGAAAAGGUACUGCAAAGAGAAGCGUCACAUGACGAUUUUAAGGAUGGACCCUUUCGUUUGCUUUGCCUAAUGAAUUUAUGCUUGGAACUGACAGGUGGCGUUUAGCAGUGGCACCCAAUCUUUGUUCUUAAAAGCCAGAGGUGUUCUUCACGUUUCAGGGGGAUUGAUUGAUGAUACUUGUUGGUUAAACCAUGAAGAAUACCAAUAGAUGGAUAAGUGGAGGGUGAGCAGACGAACCAUUGAAAGAGUCCUGCACAGUCUAGCUGCAUCCAGGCAGAUACUAGUAGAACCCGAAACAUUGUUUUGACAACUUCUGUCAUUUUUCGGUUGCAGGUUUUCACUAAAUAUUAAUUAAGUAAGGGGUUUAAUCGUGUUAUAUGUAGGAUUUUUCGAUUCAAGUCUAUUUAGGUGUCAGAACUGGAAUUGUAAGUUCAGAAUUUUUAAAACACCGCACAGCUUUUAUUAACAAUAUUUUGUUUUUUCAACUAUCAAAAUCUUGUAAAUCAUUUAAAGGAGAACAGAGCUCUUUGUUAAAUUUCCGAAAUUUCGACUUCCGGUUUUGCUUCCGGUUUUAAAAUGUUAAAUAACUCUUUAUUUGUUGGUUUGUCAGAAAAAAGAUUUACAUUUUCGUGAUACUCAUCAAAUUUGGGGUAGACUCCAUGUGUCAGCUUAAAAUACCCGAAAAUCGUCAAAAAUCGCAAAUUUUUCUGAACAUGAAAAAUCGCGUUUUUGGUCAAAUCCGACUUUUGGCUAAAAACACGUCAUUCCGACCCCAAAUUUGAUAAUAAUCACGAAAAUCCUAUUCGUUUUGUUAUAGGAGCCCUAUUUCCGGAGAUAUUUGAUACUCCCUGUUACUUCCGGUAAAUUUUCGUGACAAUCUGCGAAAAGUAAAAAAUUUGCUGUAUUGUUCUAACAAUUUCAAAUACUUUUCUCGCAUGCGUUAGGGUGUGGUAGCUAUUAUUCCGUGUUUUUCUUGCUUUCAACACUACAGACUGAUCCUACCAGCUACGACAAGUUUUACCUACAAAUUUUUUGCGUUUCAUGCUGCAACUAGUAGUUGAUAUCCUAGGAUGUUAUGCCUAAAAUUGGAAUUCAGCUAUCAGAGAUUUGCAAAAGCAAAGCACUUAACAGCAAAUAUUGUACUUAUUUCAACAUUCAAAAUAAAAUAAAAUUUUGUGUUCUAGGCAGAAACUCUAGAUGGCGUUAAUGUGUGUAUGAUGAAGAUUACGAGUGACAAGUUAAAUUGUCUGUUUUGUGUUUCAAAGGAUUUUUCAUAAAAAAAUUUCAGAUUGCUUUUUGUAUGUGGUGGUGUUUCACCUUGACAGCUGCCGAACCAGCAGGCAGCAGCCUACAUUCCUGUCAUCAAUGUACCACAAGGGAUUCUGACACUUUAAGAAGGCUACUAUUCCUCACAUGAAGAUCGCCAUCCAGUUCAAGUACUGUUAAUGGACCUCAAGCCUUUUGUUUAAGCUUAGUGAUGUGUUCUUUCAUCAGUCAACCACAGAGUCUUCAUCUACUUUGUGUUGCUAAUCAUCAGCCCUCAGCAUCACAGGUAUCCAGAUUUCCAAGCUUCUCUGAUUAGCCAAAAAUCAUCCAUACACUUCAGCUUUUUAUUGUGUAGUUCUUGUAGGCUUCUCUUUCUCUCUUCUUAAUCUGUUGAAUGCCAACAUGGAGUAAGGUUCAUGUUCGUUGCUUUACCAUGAAGAUUGUCAUUGCUAGUCCUGCUGUUCUUCUCUCCGUUACUUAGCCAGCUAACAUGGAUAGGCUUUAACACCAACUCCAUUUUUUUGGAUUGCAAAUGUUCAUCUUCCUUCGGUAUAACACUGUCGUUUCGACACUUUUUGUAGUUUCGCCCCCAGUGGACCACGCAACUACAUUUUCUUCAUCUUCCUUUCGUUGUCUACGCCUUCACCUCAUCGCUGUCUUCGUCGACGUCUUCACCUUCAUCUCCGUCUCCUCGUCGUCUUGGCCGUCUUCGCCUUCAUCUCCGUCUCGUCGUCGUCUUGGCCGUCUUCGCCUUCAUCUCCGUCUCGUCGUCGUCUUGGCCGUCUUCGCCUUCAUCUCUGUCUCGUCGUCGUCUUGGCCGUCUUCGCCGUCUUCGCCUUUAUGUCCGUCUCGUCGUCGUCUUGGCCGUCUUCGUCCACGCCAUCACCGUCCACGCCAUCACCGUCUUUGUCCACGCCAUCAUCUCGUCGCCGGCUUCGUCUUCGCCCUCUUCGCCCUUCACCUUCGCCCUUCACGUAGGGAGUUCAGCGUGGAUCGUCGCCAUGGUAUUGUUUUGUUUUGCAUUGUAAUGUUUAAGUUAACCCGUUGGCUGCCACCCCGUUUGCGUCCCAUUUUUUUUGUAGCUUGUAGGGACCGGCCGCAAUGGCCUUCGCCGCAAGGCGCCUUAG